rnacentral:rRNA from 1 species
UACGUAGGGAGCAAGCGUUGUCCGGAAUCAUUGGGCGUAAAGCGCGCGUAGGCGGCUCGAUCAGUCUGUUGUGAAAGUCAAAGGCUCAACCUUUGAAUGCCGAUGGAUACUGUCGAGCUAGAGUCCGGAAGAGGCGGGUGGAAUUCCUGGUGUAGCGGUGGAAUGCGCAGAUAUGAGGAGGAACACCAACGGCGAAGGCAGCCCGCUGGGACGGUACUGACGCUAAGGCGCGAAAGCGUGGGGAGCGAACAGG